AAGGUUCGACUCGAGCGAAGCGAGAGAACGUUGCCGCAGGCAACGGCCCGAAGGGCGAGGCGCUUUAGCGCCGAGUA
rnacentral:sRNA from 1 species